AGCACUUCCAUCUAGAAUACUGCUUUCCACCAUUUGUGCCAAUUGUUUGCUGCAUGAAAUGUUGUCUUGGAUUAAUAGAAAAAACUCCCAUGGUUUGAAUCCAGGAGAGGGAUUCCCACCAUAAGGGCUGUGUCUUUGGCCAAUCAAAAAAUAGGUGAGAGGCUUCCUCCUCCUUACUUCUGCAAAAAGGACAGAUUGUGUCAUUCAUCUGGAUUUGUCUUCUUCCCAGAUUAGCUUUGGUUGGUAGUCUGUCUUUGAUCAUUCUCCAUGCAAAAAUUUGAGCUUUUGCUGAGAUUUUUAGCUUCCAUAGAUCCUCUAAUGCCUCAUC
rnacentral:misc_RNA from 1 species